rnacentral:rRNA from 1 species
CACUAGUCGAGUCGGCCUGCGCGGAAGAUGUAACGGGGCUAAAAUCAUAUACCGAAUCUGCGGGCACAUACUUUGUAUGUGUGGUAGAGGAGCGUUCUGUAAGCCUGUGAAGGUGUGCUGGAAAGCAUGCUGGAGGUAUCAGAAGUGCGAAUGCUGACAUGAGUAACGAUAAAGGAGGUGAAAAUCCUCCUCGCCGAAAGACCAAGGUUUCCUGCGCAACGUUCAUCGGCGCAGGGUGAGUCGGCCCCUAAGGCGAGGCCGAAAGGCGUAGUCGAUGGGAAACAGGUUAAUAUUCCUGUACCGGAUAUAGCUGCGAUGGGGUGACGGAGAAGGUUAGGCUGGCCUGGCGAUGGUUGUCCAGGUUUAAGCACGUAGGCUGGGGACUUAGGUAAAUCCGGGUCCCUAAGGCCGAGAUGUGAUGACGAACCGUUCUUAUACGAACGGGAAGUGGUCGAUACCAUGCUUCCAAGAAAAACCUCUAAGCUUCAGGCUAUAAACGACCGUACCCCAAACCGACACAGGUGGUCGGGUAGAGAAUACCAAGGCGCUUGAGAGAACUCGGGUGAAGGAACUAGGCAAAAUGGUACCGUAACUUCGGGAGAAGGUACGCCGGUUUUGGUGAUGAGACUUGCUCUCUAAGCUGAGGCCGGCCGAAGUGACCAGGUGGCUGCGACUGUUUAUUAAAAACAUAGCACUCUGCAAACACGUAAGUGGACGUAUAGGGUGUGACGCCUGCCCGGUGCCGGAAGGUUAAUUGAUGGGGUUAGCGUAUGCGAAGCUCUUGAUCGAAGCCCCGGUAAACGGCGGCCGUAACUAUAACGGUCCUAAGGUAGCGAAAUUCCUUGUCGGGUAAGUUCCGACCUGCACGAAUGGCGUAACGAUGGCCACGCUGUCUCCACCCGAGACUCAGUGAAAUUGAAAUCGCUGUUAAGAUGCAGUGUACCCGCGGCUAGACGGAAAGACCCCGUGAACCUUUACUAUAGCUUCACAGUGGACUUUGAAUAUGCUUGUGUAGGAUAGCUGGGAGACUUUGAAACCGGGACGCUAGUUUCGGUGGAGUCAACCUUGAAAUACCAGCCUGGCAUGUUUGAGGUUCUAACCUAGACCCGUGAAUCCGGGUCAGGGACAUUGUGUGGUGGGUAGUUUGACUGGGGCGGUCUCCUCCCAAAGAGUAACGGAGGAGCACGAAGGUACCCUCAGCAUGGUCGGAAAUCAUGCAAUGAGUGCAAGGGCAUAAGGGUGCUUAACUGCGAGACUGACAAGUCGAGCAGGUGCGAAAGCAGGUCCUAGUGAUCCGGUGGUUCUGUAUGGAAGGGCCAUCGCUCAACGGAUAAAAGGUACU